rnacentral:rRNA from 1 species
GAUAAACGCUGGCGGCGCACAUAAGACAUGCAAGUCGAACGGACUUAAUCGAAAUAUUUAUAUUUUGAAGCGGUUAGUGGCGGACUGGUGAGUAACGCGUAAGGAACCUGCCUAUUAGAGGGGAAUAACAGUGAGAAAUCAUUGCUAAUACCGCAUAUGCCAUAGAUAUCACAUGAUAACAGUGGGAAAGGAGCAAUCCGCUAAUAGAUGGCCUUGCGUCUGAUUAGAUAGUUGGUGGGGUAACGGCCUACCAAGUCGACGAUCAGUAGCCGGACUGAGAGGUUGAACGGCCACAUUGGGACUGAGAUACGGCCCAGACUCCUACGGGAGGCAGCAGUCGGGAAUAUUGCGCAAUGGAGGAAACUCUGACGCAGUGACGCCGCGUAUAGGAAGAAGGUUUUCGGAUUGUAAACUAUUGUCGUUAGGGAAGAGAAAGGACAGUACCUAAGGAGGAAGCUCCGGCUAACUACGUG